rnacentral:rRNA from 1 species
GCCGCGGUAAUACGAAGGGGGCUAGCGUUGUUCGGAAUUACUGGGCGUAAAGGGCGCGUAGGCGGUCCUGAUCGUCGGAUGUGAAAGGCCUGGGCUCAACCUGGGAACUGCAUCCGAUACGGCGGGACUGGAGUGUGGGAGAGGGUAGUGGAAUUCCCGGUGUAGCAGUGAAAUGCGUAGAUAUCGGGAGGAACAUCCGUGGCGAAGGCGACUACCUGGACCAGCACUGACACUGAGGCACGAAAGCGUGGGGAGCAAACAG